rnacentral:rRNA from 1 species
UGCGUAGGUGGUGGGGUAAGUCUCGUGUGAAAGCUCGCAGCUUAACUGCGAAAAGUCACGGGAUACUAUCCGGCUAGAGGCUUGGAGGGGGGACUGGAAUACUUGGUGUAGCAGUGAAAUGCGUAGAUAUCAAGUGGAACACCAGUGGCGAAGGCGAGUCCCUGGACAAGACCUGACACUGAGGCACGAAGGCCAGGGAGCAAACA